rnacentral:rRNA from 1 species
UGGCGGUAUGCUUACACAUGCAGUCGAACGGAACUUCGGGUUUAGUGGCGGACGGGUGAGUAACGCGUGAGAAUCUGCCCUCUAGGUCGGGGACAACAAUUGGAAACGAUUGCUAAUACCCGAUGUGCAGCAAGGUGAAAGAUUUAUUGCCUAAGAGAUGAGCUCGCGUCUGAU